rnacentral:rRNA from 1 species
UACGGAGGGUGCAAGCGUUAUCCGGAUUCACUGGGUUUAAAGGGUGCGUAGGCGGGUUGAUAAGUCCGUGGUGAAAGCCCCAAGCUUAACCUGGGAACUGCCGUGGAUACUAUUAGUCUUGAAUAUCGAGGAGGUAAGCGGAAUAUGUCAUGUAGCGGUGAGAUGCUUAGAUAUGACAUGGAACACCAAUUGCGUAGGCAGCUUACUACACGAUUAUUGACGCUGAGGCACGAAAGCGUGGGGAGCAAAC